GAUGAACGCUGGCGGUCUGCUUAACACAUGCAAGUCGAACGGAAUCCCUCGGGAUUUAGUGGCGGACGGGUGAGUAACACGUAAGAACCUGCCUCUAGGACGGGGACAACAGUUGGAAACGACUGCUAAACCCGGAUGAGCCGAAAGGUAAAAGAUUUAUCGCCUAGAGAGGGGCUUGCGUCUGAUUAGCUAGUUGGUAAGGUAAAGGCUUACCAAGGCGACGAUCAGUAGCUGGUCUGAGAGGAUGAUCAGCCGCACUGGGACUGAGACACGGCCCAGACUCCUACGGGAGGCAGCAGUGGGGAAUUUUCCGCAAUGGGCGAAAGCCUGACGGAGCAAGACCGCGUGGGGGAGGAAGGUUCUUGGAUUGUCAACCCCUUUUCUCAGGGAAGAACAAAAUGACGGUACCUGAGGAAAAAGCAUCGGCUAACUCCGUGCCAGCCGCCGCAGUAAGAC
rnacentral:rRNA from 1 species